rnacentral:rRNA from 1 species
AAACUGAAGAGUUUGAUCAUGGCUCAGAUUGAACGCUGGCGGCAGGCCUAACACAUGCAAGUCGAGCGGCAGCACGGAAAGCUUGCUUUCUGGUGGCGAGCGGCGAACGGGUGAGUAAUGCAUAGGAAUCUGCCCGGUAGUGGGGGAUAACCUGGGGAAACCCAGGCUAAUACCGCAUACGUCCUACGGGAGAAAGGGGGCUUCGGCUCCCGCUAUCGGAUGAGCCU